CAACAACACCACCAGCUACAAAACCAGCUGCUAUUCUGCUGCUGGCGAUGUCCUUCAAAAUGAAUGAAGAUUUCACCAACGAACUAAAUGAUAAAAAUAGUGUCAAAUACAAAAAGUACAAAGACGAUAUUGAACCAGUUAUCCAGGAACAGUAUAGGAACAACAUGCCAGGGUUUAUUUCAGCAGCAUUGACAAGUUUCAGCCGUGGAAGUGUUAUAGCCAACUUUGAUGUUAGGACCACAGCUGCAGACCCCACUGCAAUUAACAAAGCUAAUGCUGGACUUGCAACAUCACUUCCAGCUGUUUAUCAAGUUGAUACUAGCUCUUUCAAUAUUAUUUAUAACAGUAGCACAGUAUUAAGUUAUAAACCAACUACCAUUUACACUAAUGGCAUCAUGACUCUGGAGUGUGGACCACCUCCUGAUACUGUAAAGAUGGGUACUG